UUUGAAUCACCAAAAAAGAAGAAGAAGAGGGAAGCGAAGAAGCUUGGAAGGGCUGGUCGGACAGUCCAUUGUGGUUCAUGCGGUGAGGCAGGCCAUAACGCACUUGGUUGCAAACUCCAUCCAAAGAAAAAGAUGAAGAAGACACACCAAACCGUGGAAGAGGUAUAAUAUCAACCAAAUUUCAAAAAUUGUUAAUGUAUUUAUCCUCUUGUUUGGUUUUGUGGCAGGGCACUUCUUCUCAUGUCCAUGAAGAGAUCAGACUUACACAACCUACUCAAUCUACUCAAGCUCAAGACUAGUGGAUCUCUGUUGCUUUUGUUGUUUUUGCUGUUGUGGCUUUUGUUGCUCAAGCUUUGACGUUUUCUCAGUCCCAGUUCUGUUUUCUCCACUUUUCUUGCUGCAAUACCUUGGUGUUCUCUUUGCUGCAUCUAAGCUAAUAGAAAAAAUCGUUGUCUUACUACGUGGAGAAGCUGGUCCAGGAUUCUACUUUACGUUAUCUUAAUAAGUAAUAAGUUUCAGUAUUACUCUGUUUUGUCUUUUUAGAAACAGAGCACGUAAUGAUUUGUGAUAAUGAUAAUCAGAAGGUUGAGAUAUUGAUAAUCUCUAACAGAAAGGUCUGUUUCUUAUGUCUUUUUAGAUUAAUAUACCACUAAAUGGUUUCGUUUCUUUACAAGGUAUAAACUAUUAGCAUGAAAGCUUUCCCUCUAUAUUAAUUCUCAUAGCUUCUUCUUCCACCUUCUCAAGUCUUGUUUCAUGAAACUCAAAGCACUCCAUCACUCUGUUUCAGAUUCUUAACAUCAUUCACAAGCUCAUCAUGUUUUGCAUCCACCUUCCCUACCUCAUCUCUCACUGCUUCAUCGACCCAUAUAAAAAGACGCCCUUUCCAUCUUUUUCUAUCAUCAAACACAAACAACAUGAGGACUCAACAACAUGAUCCUGGUCGUCUCUCUCUGUUCCUCCACGUCAUCGUCUCUCUCUCUGUUCCUUGUCGUCUAUCUCUCUGUUCGUCGUCGUCUCUCUCUGUGUUCCUCACCGUCUCUAUCUAUGUUCCCCCACGUCUGUCUCUCUCUCUCUCUCUCUCUCUCUCUCUCUCUCUGUGUUCCUAGUUGUCUCUUUCUCACUAUGUGUUCUUUCUCGUUUGUUCUUCUGGUUCAGAACAACAAAGUCGAAACCUAAAUUUUAAUUUAGCCCCAAUUCGAUUUCAUUUUUAAUUAAUUCGGGU
rnacentral:lncRNA from 1 species